AGGACGAACGCUGGCGGCGUGCUUAACACAUGCAAGUCGAGCGGAAAGGCCCUUCGGGGUACUCGAGCGGCGAACGGGUGAGUAACACGUGAGUAAUCUGCCCCUAGCUCUGGGAUAGCUCCGGGAAAACCGGGAUUAAUACCAGAUACGACCACUUUAGACAUCUUCUGUGGUGGAAAGAACUUCGGCUAGGGAUGAACUCGCGGCCUAUCAGCUUGUUGGUGAGGUAACGGCUCACCAAGGCGACGACGGGUAGCCGGCCUGAGAGGGCGACCGGCCACACUGGGACUGAGACACGGCCCAGACUCCUACGGGAGGCAGCAGUGGGGAAUAUUGCGCAAUGGGCGAAAGCCUGACGCAGCGACGCCGCGUGGGGGAUGAAGGCCUUCGGGUUGUAACCCCUUUCAGCAGGGACGAAGCGAAAGUGACGGUACCUGCAGAAGAAGCGCCGGCUAACUACGUGCCAGCAGCCGC
rnacentral:rRNA from 1 species